AAACCUCACCAUUCAUUGCCAAAGACAGCCUAUAUACCGCCGUCACCAACUUACCCCAUGAGGGUUAAACAGUAAGUACAACAGUUAUUUAACUAAAA
rnacentral:rRNA from 1 species